GACGAACGCUGGCGGCGUGCUUAACACAUGCAAGUCGAGCGGAGCGGCGAACGGGUGAGUAACGCGGGAGUAACUGCCCCCCUCUCUGGGAUAACAGUUGGAAACGGCUGCUAAUACCGGAUAGUGGGGGAUGACUCGCGUCCUAUCAGCUUGUUGGUGGGGUAGUGGCCUACCAAGGCGACGACGGGUAGCCGGCCUGGGAGGGCGACCGGCCACAUUGGGCUGAGGUACGGCCCAAACUGCUACGGGGGGCAGCAGGGGGGAGUAUUGCACAAUUGGGGAAACCCUAAUGAGGCAGCGCCGGGGGCGGGAUGACGGCCUUCGGGUUGUAAACCGCUUUCAGCCAUGACGCGGUAGUGGCAGAAGAAGCACCGGCUAACUACGUGCCAGCCGCCGCGGUAAUUC
rnacentral:rRNA from 1 species